CCUACGGGAGGCAUCAGUGAGGAAUAUUGGUCAAUGGGCGGAAGCCUGAACCAGCCAAGUCGCGUGAGGGACUAAGGCCCUACGGGUCGUAAACCUCUUUUGCCGGGGAUCAGUGCCCAGCUCGCGAGCUGGGAGGGAGCGUACCCGGAGAAAAAGCAUCGGCUAACUCCGUGCCAGCAGCCGCGGUAAUACGUAGGAUGCGAGCGUUAUCCGGAUUUAUUGGGUUUAAAGGGUGCGCAGGCGGCGAGUUAAGUCAGCGGUAAAAUUUCGGAGCUCAACCCCGACAAGCCGUUGAAACUGGCUUGCUAGAGUGGGCGAGAAGUAUGCGGAAUGCGUGGUGUAGCGGUGAAAUGCAUAGAUAUCACGCAGAACUCCGAUUGCGAAGGCAGCAUACCGGCGCCCAACUGACGCUCAGGCACGAAAGCGUGGGUAUCGAACAGGAUUAGAUACCCUAGUAGUC
rnacentral:rRNA from 1 species